UACAGAGGGGGCGAGCGUUGUUCGGAAUUACUGGGCGUAAAGGGUUCGUAGGUGGCUUGCUAAGUCAGACGUGAAAUCCCUCAGCUUAACUGGGGAACUGCGUCUGAUACUGGCGAGCUUGAGUGCAGGAGAGGAACGCGGAAUUCCAGGUGUAGCGGUGAAAUGCGUAGAUAUCUGGAGGAACACCGGUGGCGAAGGCGGCGUUCUGGACUGCAACUGACACUGAUGAACGAAAGCCAGGGGAGCAAACGGG
rnacentral:rRNA from 1 species